rnacentral:rRNA from 1 species
CCUACGGGCGGCUGCAGUGGGGGAUAUUGCACAAUGGGGGAAACCCUGAUGCAGCGACGCCGCGUGGGUGAAGAAGUAUUUCGGUAUGUAAAGCCCUAUCAGCAGGGAAGAAAGAAGACGGUACCUGACUAAGAAGCCCCGGCUAACUACGUGCCAGCAGCCGCGGUAAUACGUAGGGGGCGAGCGUUAUCCGGAUUCACUGGGUGUAAAGGGAGCGUAGACGGCCGUGCAAGCCAGGAGUGAAAGCCCGGGGCCCAACCCCGGGACUGCUCUUGGAACUGUGCGGCUGGAGUGCGGGAGGGGCAGGCGGAAUUCCUGGUGUAGCGGUGAAAUGCGUAGAUAUCAGGAGGAACACCGGCGGCGAAGGCGGCCUGCUGGACCGCGACUGACGUUGAGGCUCGAAAGCGUGGGGAGCAAACAGGAUUAGAUACCCUUGUAGUC